AAAAACAUUGUUUCUUGCUAUUAAAAAAUCAACCUGGAGUUUUUCGAAAUAUUUUUAAUUUAAAGGAAUACUGAACGAAGAAAACAUGCCGCCAAAUUUGCAUUGAGUAAAUAAAGAGCACUCAAGUACUGUCAAAAUUGAACAUUUUACCACUGUUAAUUGUAAAAUGGAGUGUUAAUAAAUUAAUCGUCUGAUAUGAUCUCUUUUGUUUUUGUCAUAAAAUGUUUGUUUUACUACGUUUGCCGCACGAGGCUAGACCUCCUGGCAAGUUUUUUUGUAGUGGCUUUAAUUAAUUCUGUAUUAUGCAUUUUCUUUAAUAAAUGAAAUCUGAAUCUGAAUACAAUUUUUCUUCCAGGAACCAGUUUACCACUCUAGAUGGCAUCCAGUUUAAGUGGACGAUCAGUAGUAACAGUUGGCAUUCUGACUACAGAACAGACACAGUGUUCUACGCUUCAUCUCUUUUAGAGACUCUCCAUACGAAGUACCUCUUGCUAUUAAAAGUCUUGAUGAUGCUGGUCUGCAAGGUCAUACUGUUCUGUUAGAAGGCAGAAAAACUGGUUCUGCCAAGGUUUCAGUGGAGCUUCCUCAAGCCGAGUAUGAGAAGGUUGCCCCUGCUGAUGUCCAGUUAGUCGUUGUUGCUAAUCUGUUAUUGGAGCCAGCAGAUGCCUACAUGAUGAAAGGUGACACUCUUCGAUUCAAACUCCUUCAGGUGCAACAUGGAAAACUCAUCGAAAUUCCUUUGGCCUCUAGUCAGUACUAUUUUGACUCAGAGGAUCUAGAGAUUGCUAAAGUAUUGAACGAUAAUGGCCUUGUGUCUGCUGAAAAACUUGGACGCACAAAAUUAACGCUUUUCGAUCGUAAUGUGGACGAGAGAGACAGUGUCAGGCUACCACAAGCUCACAUCACCAUUGCCGAUCCAGCUCGCAUAGCUCUUAAUUUGCUACCGUAUAAAAAUUGGAAUGUCCUUAUGAACGAGCCAACUUCAAUUGUUGUGGAAAUCUUCACAGCGUAAGUAAAACUCCAGCUUGAGUAAGAAAGUAUUAUUAUCAUGAACAAAGUAUUUUCAAUGAUCAAACUGUGCUGUGUACAAAUUGUAGGCGAAUGGUCAAAUCAGGAAUUUUGUUAAAUGCUUAGGUAAAUAGCCAAGUAUUCCUACUAAAUUGAAAUUCUGAAUAUAUUGCUAACUCUAGACAAAAUAAUUUUUGAUCAUGUUGGAAAGAAUUCUCUGUCAAAAUUUGCUUCAUGCGAUGAUAAAUAAUUUUAUUCUGAUUCUUCAUUGACACCAUGGAACGUUACCGAUUUGUACUCUCAAAAUGUUGAAAAUUUGAGAGGUCUUUUUGAAAACAUACAAAGCCUCAUAAAUUCUCAAAAUUUGACCAUUGACUUGGCAUUUGAUAUAAUGCCGGAUUUGACUUUUUGCCUGGGACGCAUGCACCUAAUUUUUGUAGUUCUUCUUGUCUGUAUCAAAUAUAGUAAUUGCUUCAUUUACUAGAUACUCACUGGAUUUUGCAGGCUAGUGGACUUUAAUUUAGGUCUCAGUCAUUAUCCUGUAAAAAAAAUGUUAUAUACUUUGCAAUUCACAGGAUUUUGAUUUUACUGUUGGCAAAAUUGCACCUCGCAUUACCAGAUUCAUUCAAGUUUGCCCAUCGCAUACCUUUAUUGCUGUCCCAUAGUCAAAAUCUCAAUCAUUCAUUUUCCAUUCGAUGUAACCAUGCAUUUUACCUUACACACCAUUGGUGUGGGCACCAACUCCCAUGAGAGGUGUGAGGAGUCCUUUGAAGAAUCGCUCUUCAAAUGUAGUGCCAUCGCUGAAUAAGAGCCGACUUUUUUAGUGACAGAAUUUUUCAGCAGUGCCAGACAAA
rnacentral:lncRNA from 1 species